UUCAAUAGACACAUUAAGGUAAAUUAAAUAUUGAGGCUCAUGUUUGCAUCUUUGUGUUUAUAUAUCAAAAGAUUGCUCUAUAAGGCUAAAUAGUCACAUUGUGAUUUCAGUGAAAGCUGAUAAAUACAGAGGGCUGGACAGUGGUUUCAUUCAUUAGGUAAAGAGGUGGGACAAGGAUGCUGACAGGACAGGAGGAGGUCACAUUCAGACAUUCAGCGCAGACAUUUUCAUCCAAAGCAACUUGAGGAAGAAAACAGAAGCAGUUCAUCCUAAAAGUGGGCUGCUGUAAUGUUUACAUCUAUGGAAAGAGGAGCUGAGAAGAAAAGAUAGGCUGGAAAGCAGUACUUCUUGUUGAGGACAAUCCUGAAUAGGAACACUUUCUCAUACACAUAGAUUAUUAUUAGUGCUUGAUUGUUUGUUUCAUUUUUAUGAAUUGUAUUGUUUUAAUUUUUCGUUUUAUUUGAAAUUACCUAAGUUAGAUUCAUGCUAAUACUUUAGCUGGACCUUGUAUCUUUGCUGGCUGGCUGGCUGUAGAGUUGGUUUCACAUACACAUGAAGUUUCUAAUUAACUAACUUUUAAGUUCAGUUUGGUUUAAACUUGUAUUUACCCAUGGUAAUUCAUUUAAAUUUCUAUUCAUGCUUAUAUAUUAAUUUCAAUGAACUUCUGGCAAUUUGGGCAAGCUACGUUUAACAAACAAAUGUAACUGUCACAAAGGUUUUUUUAUUAUCAGUUUGUUCUAAACUUUUGUUUGUUUACUA